ACGGGUGAGUAAUGUCUGGGAAACUGCCUGAUGGAGGGGGAUAACUACUGGAAACGGUAGCUAAUACCGCAUAACGUCGCAAGACCAAAGAGGGGGACCUUCGGGCCUCUUGCCAUCGGAUGUGCCCAGAUGGGAUUAGCUAGUAGGUGGGGUAACGGCUCACCUAGGCGACGAUCCCUAGCUGGUCUGAGAGGAUGACCAGCCACACUGGAACUGAGACACGGUCCANACUCCUACGGGAGGCAGCAGUGGGGAAUAUUGCACAAUGGGCGCAAGCCUGAUGCAGCCAUGCCGCGUGUAUGAAGAAGGCCUUCGGGUUGUAAAGUACUUUCAGCGGGGAGGAAGGGAGUAAAGUUAAUACCUUUGCUCAUUGACGUUACCCGCAGAAGAAGCACCGGCUAACUCCGUGCCAGCAGCCGCGGUAAUACGGAGGGUGCAAGCGUUAAUCGGAAUUACUGGGCGUAAAGCGCACGCAGGCGGUUUGUUAAGUCAGAUGUGAAAUCCCCGGGCUCAACCUGGGAACUGCAUCUGAUACUGGCAAGCUUGAGUCUCGUAGAGGGGGGUAGAAUUCCAGGUGUAGCGGUGAAAUGCGUAGAGAUCUGGAGGAAUACCGGUGGCG
rnacentral:rRNA from 1 species